rnacentral:rRNA from 1 species
GGUUAAGCGACUAAGCGUACACGGUGGAUGCCCUGGCAGUCAGAGGCGAUGAAGGACGUGCUAAUCUGCGAUAAGCGUCGGUAAGGUGAUAUGAACCGUUAUAACCGGCGAUUUCCGAAUGGGGAAACCCAGUGUGAUUCGUCACACUAUCAUUAACUGAAUCCAUAGGUUAAUGAGGCGAACCGGGGAACUGAAACAUCUAAGUACCCCGAGGAAAAGAAAUCAACCGAGAUUCCCCCAGUAGCGGCGAGCGAACGGGGAGGAGCCCAGAGCCUGAAUCAGUGUGUGUGUUAGUGGAAGCGUCUGGAAAGGCGCGCGAUACAGGGUGACAGCCCCGUACACAAAAAUGCACAUGCUGUGAGCUCGAUGAGUAGGGCGGGACACGUGGUAUCCUGUCUGAAUAUGGGGGACCAUCCUCCAAGGCUAAAUACUCCUGACUGACCGAUAGUGAACCAGUACCGUGAGGGAAAGGCGAAAAGAACCCCGGCGAGGGGAGUGAAAAAGAACCUGAAACCGUGUACGUACAAGCAGUGGGAGCCUCUUUAUGGGGUGACUGCGUACCUUUUGUAUAAUGGGUCAGCGACUUAUAUUCUGUAGCAAGGUUAACCGAAUAGGGGAGCCGAAGGGAAACCGAGUCUUAACUGGGCGUUAAGUUGCAGGGUAUAGACCCGAAACCCGGUGAUCUAGCCAUGGGCAGGUUGAAGGUUGGGUAACACUAACUGGAGGACCGAACCGACUAAUGUUGAAAAAUUAGCGGAUGACUUGUGGCUGGGGGUGAAAGGCCAAUCAAACCGGGAGAUAGCUGGUUCUCCCCGAAAGCUAUUUAGGUAGCGCCUCGUGAAUUCAUCUCCGGGGUAGAGCACUGUUUCGGCAAGGGGGUCAUCCCGACUUACCAACCCGAUGCAAACUGCGAAUACCGGAGAAUGUUAUCACGGGAGACACACGGCGGGUGCUAACGUCCGUCGUGAAGAGGGAAACAACCCAGACCGCCAGCUAAGGUCCCAAAGUCAUGGUUAAGUGGGAAACGAUGUGGGAAGGCCCAGACAGCCAGGAUGUUGGCUUAGAAGCAGCCAUCAUUUAAAGAAAGCGUAAUAGCUCACUGGUCGAGUCGGCCUGCGCGGAAGAUGUAACGGGGCUAAACCAUGCACCGAAGCUGCGGCAGCGACACUAUGUGUUGUUGGGUAGGGGAGCGUUCUGUAAGCCUGUGAAGGUGUACUGUGAGGUAUGCUGGAGGUAUCAGAAGUGCGAAUGCUGACAUAAGUAACGAUAAAGCGGGUGAAAAGCCCGCUCGCCGGAAGACCAAGGGUUCCUGUCCAACGUUAAUCGGGGCAGGGUGAGUCGACCCCUAAGGCGAGGCCGAAAGGCGUAGUCGAUGGGAAACAGGUUAAUAUUCCUGUACUUGGUGUUACUGCGAAGGGGGACGGAGAAGGCUAUGUUGGUACGGGCGACGGUUGUCCCGGUUUAAGCGUGUAGGCUGAUUUUCCAGGCAAAUCCGGAAAAUCAAGGCUGAGGCGUGAUGACGAGGCACUACGGUGCUGAAGCAACAAAUGCCCUGCUUCCAGGAAAAGCCUCUAAGCAUCAGGUAACAUCAAAUCGUACCCCAAACCGACACAGGUGGUCAGGUAGAGAAUACCAAGGCGCUUGAGAGAACUCGGGUGAAGGAACUAGGCAAAAUGGUGCUGUAACUUCGGGAGAAGGCACGCUGAUACGUAGGUGAAGUCCCUCGCGGAUGGAGCUGAAAUCAGUCGAAGAUACCAGCUGGCUGCAACUGUUUAUUAAAAACACAGCACUGUGCAAACACGAAAGUGGACGUAUACGGUGUGACGCCUGCCCGGUGUCGGAAGGUUAAUUGAUGGGGUUAGCGGUAACGCGAAGCUCUUGAUCGAAGCCCCGGUAAACGGCGGUACGUAACUAUAACGGUCCUAAGGUAGCGAAAUUCCUUGUCGGGUAAGUUCCGACCUGCACGAAUGGCGUAAUGAUGGUCAGGCUGUCUCCACCCGAGACUCAGUGAAAUUGAACUCGCUGUGAAGAUGCAGUGUACCCGCGGCAAGACGGAAAGACCCCGUGAACCUUUACUAUAGCUUGACACUGAACAUUGAGCCUUGAUGUGUAGGAUAGGUGGGAGGCUUUGAAGUGUGGACGCCAGUCUGCAUGGAGCCGACCUUGAAAUACCACCCUUUAAUGUUUGAUGUUCUAACGUUGGCCCCUGAUCGGGGUUGCGGACAGUGUCUGGUGGGUAGUUUGACUGGGGCGGUCUCCUCCUAAAGAGUAACGGAGGAGCACGAAGGUUGGCUAAUCCUGGUCGGACAUCAGGAGGUUAGUGCAAUGGCAUAAGCCAGCUUGACUGCGAGCGUGACGGCGCGAGCAGGUGCGAAAGCAGGUCAUAGUGAUCCGGUGGUUCUGAAUGGAAGGGCCAUCGCUCAACGGAUAAAAGGUACUCCGGGGAUAACAGGCUGAUACCGCCCAAGAGUUCAUAUCGACGGCGGUGUUUGGCACCUCGAUGUCGGCUCAUCACAUCCUGGGGCUGAAGUAGGUCCCAAGGGUAUGGCUGUUCGCCAUUUAAAGUGGUACGCGAGCUGGGUUUAGAACGUCGUGAGACAGUUCGGUCCCUAUCUCGCCGUGGGCGCUGGAGAACUGAGGGGGCUGCUCCUAGUACGAGAGGACCGGAGUGGACGCAUCACUGGUGUUCGGGUUGUCAUGCCAAUGGCACUGCCCGGUAGCUAAAUGCGGAAGAGAUAAGUGCUGAAAGCAUCUAAGCACGAAACUUGCCCCGAGAUGAGUUCUCCCUGACUCCUUGAGAGUCCUGAAGGAACGUUGAAGACGACGACGUUGAUAGGCCGGGUGUGUAAGCGCAGCGAUGCGUUGAGCUAACCGGUACUAAUGAACCGUGAGGCUUAACCUU